rnacentral:rRNA from 1 species
UAGAGUUUGAUCCUGGCUCAGGAUGAACGCUGGCGGCGUGCUUAACACAUGCAAGUCGAGCGAAGCACUCCACCGGAUUUCUUCGGAAGGAAGGUGGUUUGACUGAGCGGCGGACGGGUGAGUAACGCGUGGGUAACCUGCCUUACACAGGGGGAUAACAGUUAGAAAUGACUGCUAAUACCGCAUAACCCGCUAGGGCCGCAUGGCCCGGACGGAAAAGAUUUUAUCGGUGUAAGAUGGACCCGCGUCUGAUUAGCUGGUUGGUGAGGUAACGGCCCACCAAGGCGACGAUCAGUAGCCGGCCUGAGAGGGUGAUCGGCCACAUUGGGACUGAGACACGGCCCAAACUCCUACGGGAGGCAGCAGUGGGGAAUAUUGCACAAUGGGGGAAACCCUGAUGCAGCAACGCCGCGUGAGUGAAGAAGUAUUUCGGUAUGUAAAGCUCUAUCAGCAGGGAAGAAAAUGACAGUACCUGACUAAGAAGCCCCGGCUAACUACGUG